rnacentral:rRNA from 1 species
UGAAUACGAGACGCUAAGGCGUCGAAGUAGUGUAUGUCAUACUUCCAAGAAAAGCUUGCACUGUCAUAGAUAAAAAACGCCUGUACCAUAACCGACACAGGUGGGUAGGUAGAGUAUACUAAGGGGCGCGAGAUAACUCUUUCUAAGGAACUCGGCAAAAUGACUCCGUAACUUCGGGAGAAGGAGUGCCUUAUUCUUAAGGUUGCAAUAACAAGAUCCAAGCAACUGUUUAUCAAAAACACAGGUCUCCGCUAAGUCGUAAGACGAUGUAUGGGGGCUGACGCCUGCCCAGUGCCAGAAGGUUAAAGAAGUUGGUUAGCAUUUGCGAAGCUGAUAACUGAAGCCCUGGUGAACGGCGGCCGUAACGAUAACGGUCCUAAGGUAGCGAAAUUCCUUGUCGGGUAAGUUCCGACCCGCACGAAAGGCGUAAUGAUUUGGAUACUGUCUCGGAGAGGGGCUCGGUGAAAUAGACUUGUCUGUGAAGAUGCGGACUACCUGCACCAGGACAGAAAGACCCUAUGAAGCUUUACUGUAACUUGAAAUUGAAAUUGGACUUUAUUCGCGCAGUAUAGGUGGGAGGCGUUGAUUAUAAUCUUGCGGGAUUAUUGGAGCCAUCAGUGAGAUACCACCCUUGUAAUGUUAGAUUUCUAACUUUGAAUCAUUAUCUGGUCAAAGAACAGUUUCAGGCGGGCAGUUUGACUGGGGCGGUCGCCUCCUAAACGGUAACGGAGGCGUACAAAGGUUUCCUCUGAACGGUUAGAAAUCGUAUCUAGAGUGUAAAGGCAUAAGGAAGCUUGACUGUGAGACCUACAAGUCGAGCAGGGACGAAAGUCGGUCUUAGUGAUCUGACGGUACUGAGUGGAAAGGCCGUCACUCAACGGAUAAAAGUUACUCUAGGAUAACAGGCUGAUCUCCCCCAAGAGUUCACAUCGACGGGGAGGUUUGGCACCUCGAUGUCGGCUCAUCGCAUCCUGGGGCGGUAGUACGUCCCAAGGGUUGGGCUGUUCGCCCAUGAAAGCGGUACGCGAGCUGGGUUCAGAACGUCGUGAGACAGUUCGGUCCAUAUCCGGUGUAGGCGUUAGAAUAUUGAGAGGAGCCUUCUUUAGUACGAGAGGACCGAGAAGGACAUACCUCUGGUGUACCAGUUAUCGUGCCAACGGUAAACGCUGGGUAGCUAUGUAUGGAGUGGAUAACCGCUGAAAGCAUCUAAGUGGGAAGCCCACCUCAAGAUAAGUAUUCUCAUC